AGGAAAUCCUGCUCUCAAGCCAUAAAAACUUAUGCCCACCCGUGUAAAGGAAGCCUUCGAUGGAAACAAGGCAGAAGAAGUACAGUAAUGGGAAAACAGAGGAAGGUUACCAAUGGAAAGUUCUCUGGAUCUUCUAUAACAUUGGAAUAAUUACAAAGGAAUAAGGAGAGAAUACCUAAUUUAGUGCUCAAAAGCCAUAUCCAGGGCUUAAAGGGGAAGAGUCACUGCGGCCACCUCUGACAUGGCAGAUUUUGUACCUUGUGCUCUCAGAAAUAAAUCUCACCUCUGAUUC